rnacentral:tRNA from 1 species
GCCGGUGUGGCUCAGUGGUUGAGCAUCAGCCUAUGAACCAGGAGGUCCCGGGUUCGAUUCCUGGUCAGGGCA